rnacentral:rRNA from 1 species
AAUCUUGCGCAAUGGGCGAAAGCCUGACGCAAGCGACGCCGCGUGGACGAUGAAUGCCUUCGGGUUGUAAAGUCCGGUAAGCAGGGAAGAAUAAGUGUAAAGUAAUAUCUUGCACGAUGACGGUACCUGCCUAAAGCCCCGGCUAACUACGUGCCAGCAGCCGCGGUAAUACGUAUGGGGCAAGCGUUGUUCGGAAUUAUUGGGCAUAAAGGGCGUCUAGGCGGGGGACUAAGUCAGGUGUGAAAGCCAUGGGCUCAACCCAUGAAUUGCACCUAAAACUGGUUUUCUUGAGUUCGGGAGGGGAGAGCGGAAUUCCCGGUGUAGCGGUGAAAUGCGUAGAUAUCGGGAAGAACACCAGUGGCGAAGGCGGCUCUCUGGCCUAGAACUGACGCUGAAGCGCGAAAGCGUGGGGAGCGAACGGGAUUAGAUACCCCGGUAGUCCACGCCGUAAACGUUGUGUACUAGGUGUUAGUGGCUUGACCACUAGUGCCGUCGCAAACGCAUUAAGUACACCGCCUGGGGAGUACGUCCGCAAGGAUGAAACUCAAAGAAAUUGACGGGGGCCCGCACAAGCGGUGGAGCAUGUGGUUUAAUUCGAUGAUACGCGAAGAACCUUACCUGGGCUUGAACUGUACUUGAUCGGUGUAGAGAUACACCCUCCUUCGGGCAGGUGCAGAGGUGCUGCAUGGUUGUCGUCAGCUCGUGUCGUGAGAUGUUGGGUUAAGUCCCGCAACGAGCGCAACCCUUACCCCUUGUUGCCAUCAGGUAAUGCUGAGCACUCUAGGGGAACUGUCGGUGAUAAACCGGAGGAAGGUGGGGAUGACGUCAAAUCAUCACGGCCCUUAUGUCCAGGGCUACACACGUGCUACAAUGGCCGGUACAAUGAGUUGCGAGACCGCGAGGUGGAGCUAAUCUCAAAAAACCGGUCUCAGUUCGGAUUGCAGUCUGCAACUCGACUGCAUGAAGCUGGAAUCGCUAGUAAUCGCGGAUCAGCACGCCGCGGUGAAUACGUUCCCGG